GUGAGUGCUUGUAUGUUUCAUUUUCAUAAGCAAUGUUUACUUGCUUCAGAACAAAUAUGCUAAGUUGAAGUCCAUUAUGCGCAGCAUUGGGAGAUUGGAAUUUACAGCCUGUGUUUAAGAUGCCAACUGAAAUCGAAUCUGUUGAGAACAUUCCAGAGUUCAUUAAGGGUGUGAAGAGCAGGAAGCAAAAGAUGUCAGGUUUUGGCCAUCGCAUGUACAAGAACUAUGAUCCUAGAGCAAAGGUCAUAUGAAAGCUGGCAGAUGAAGUAUUUUCCAUGGUUAAAAGGGAUCCACUGAUUGGGGUAGCUGUUGCUUUGAAGAAAGCUCAGUAUCUGACGAGUAUUUUGUUAAGAGAAAGCAGGUAGUUUUGACGGUUUUAUUCCCGAUGCUUUUGAAUCAGCUCCGCCUCACCGGCAUCUACUUGGUUGGCGAGCAGUUGUACAACUGCGUCAUCUCUCCUCACUCCUUUUCUGACUGAAUUAAUUGCAGAUUGGCUGCUCAGCAAGAGGAACGAAGUCUGGAGUUUGUCAUCUUUCAUAUUUCAAUAAAAAGUAUUCGUUUGACUAGAGCCUUAUUUGAAGGCUGUGAAAUUUUUAUCUAGAGAUUUGUCAUGUUGCUACUCUACCCCUGAAUGGCUACACGUUUGACAGUUGCAUAAGUUGAGAACUUCGAUAAGACCAUCUCUGAGCAGGGCAUGACCUUCAGAACUCCUUGGAAUUGCUUUGAAUCAUGGGGCACAAUUCUGUCUUCACGAAUGUGAAUCAGACUCCAUAAUGUGGCUUAAUACACUUUCACAUCAGAUGGCUUUAUGAAACAAAGUUCCACAAAUCUCUUCACUGGAACCACUAUACAAAGCAUGUUUGAUAUUGGUGCUCACCACACUUUUGAGACACCAGAUUCAAAUGUGGAAUUGCAUACUCCAAAGUCUCCCAUCUACUUUUGGCCUAACCCGGUUUGAAACAGAAGAAUUAGGCGCUGACUUACAUUAACGUCAAUCUGCUCCAGAAUGCUUGCAACUUGGUUACUAGCUGACUCACAUUUCUUAGUAUCCUAGUUGAAUUAGGAAAGAGAAAGAAGGGUAUGUCUUGGAACAUUAUUUAACAUGGUCGUACAGGGCAAGUCUGUUGUGGUCGCAUGUGUAAAAGUUGGGGACCGUAUAAGCUACAUAGUUAUAACAAUUAACAUGUGAAUAAUAUUUUGUAAUGAUGAUGGCAUUAGCAUACAUGUGGUGGC